CCAAUAGCGUAUAUUAAAGUUGUUGCAGUUAAAAAGCUCGUAGUUGAAUUUUGGGUCUGGCCGGGCGGUCCGCCCUCUGGGUGAGCACUGUUCCGACGUCGGGCCUAUCCUUCUGGUGAGUCGGCAUGUCCUUUAUUGGGUGUGUCGGGGAACCAGGACCAUUACCUUGAAAAAAUUAGAGUGUUCAAAGCAGGCGUAUGCUCGGAUACAUUAGCAUGGAAUAAUGAAAUAGGACGCGUGGUGCUAUUUUGUUUGUUUAUAGAACCGCCGUAAUGAUUAAUAGGGAUAGUUGGGGGCAUUAGUAUUGAAUUGUCAGAGGUGAAAUUCUUGGAUUUAUUGAAGACUAACUUCUGCGAAAGCAUUUGCCAAGUAUGUUUUCAUUAAUCAAGAACGAAAGUUAGGGGAUCGAAGACGUUCAGAUACCGUCGUAGUCUUAACCAUAAACGAUGCCGACUAGGAAUCGGGCGAUGUUAUUCUCAUGACUCGCCCGGCGCCUUAUG
rnacentral:rRNA from 1 species